rfam:TPA: Bos taurus chromosome 20, whole genome shotgun sequence.
UCCCUGGUGGCCCAGACAGUAAGGCAUCUGCCUGCAAUGCAGAUGACCUGGGUUCAAUCCCUGGGUCGGGAA